UGUGGAGAACAACAUCACAGACCUCAUAGCAGAUGCCGCGCAUGUUCUCCUCACAUAGUGCUCCUUCUUUUGAUGCCCACUGGAACCCAGCCACAACAGAGUCCUUGAUUUCAUUCAGGUACUGCACUCCCUUACACAUGUCCACAACCAUGUUGGGGCCAGUCGUCUCAGGUCCAAAGCACCAAAUCUUCUUGGCGAGAUCCUUGUCCCAACCAAACUCCUCAGACAGGAUCUUGGAGCGCACCUUAGGAUCAUCACGCGGGCCAAUGCGGCCAUCAUCAAUAGCCUCAGCCAAUCCCUCCUCCAAUGGGCGAGCUUCCAUGUAAAGACGGUUAUGCUUGUUGGGGGACUUGCUCAUAACGGUACGGCAGGACUUCUCCAGAACAGUCUCACGGAAGGAGACGACAGGGGGGGAAACAAUGAUUUCAGCACCACCCAUGAAGUCAUCCUGCAGAUCCUUCAAGCAGAUUUCAAGAUGAAGCUCUCCGGCUCCAGCGAUGAUAUGCUCACCAGACUCUUCAAUGGUACAGAGAACCAUAGGAUCAGACUUGGCCAGACGCUUCAAACCCUCAACAAGCUUAGGAAGAUCAGAAGCCACCUUGCACUGAACAGCAACACGUACAACAGGGGACACAGAGAACUUCAUUGCCCUGAUUGGGCAGGCAUCAACUUCCUUCUCGUUUGUCAGGGUUGCAUUCUUGGUGAUGAACUGAUCCAAACCAACCAAAGCAACGGUGUUACCACAGGGAACAUCCUCAACAGACUCUUGCUUCUUUCCCAUCCAGAUAACAGUCCGCUGGACACUCUUCACAUAUAGAUCCUUCUUCUGGCCAGGAACAAAGUUGGGACCCAUGAUACGGACCUUCAUGCCAGUUGCGACCCUCCCGGCGAAAACACGUCCAAAGGCAAAGAAUCUACCCUUGUCAGAUGCUGGAAUCAUCUUGGAGACAUACAGCAUAAGAGGACCUUCAGGGUCACAGUUUCUGAUGGCAUUUGCAUAUAUGUCAUCAAGGGGGCCCUCGUACAAGUUCUCCACACGAUACCUCUGUGCCUUUGAAGGAGAGGGGAGGUGAAAUAUCAUCAUCUCAAGCAGAGCACGACUGGCAGGCAGCCAAGUUUGCAUCACACGCUUCAUGAGAGCCUUGCCCAUCAAGUCCUUCUCAUCAUUCUUCAUGGUCACACCAAGCUUCUUCAACAUAGGCCACAACUUAUCCUUCUGGUCAUUCAUGCAGGUUGCUAUGAUUUGCUUGAUUGGCUCAUAGCAGAACUGAACGAAACCUCUCUUGCAGGUAGCUGUCCCAGUGUUCUUGGAGGUCCAUUUCUUUGUGGCUGGGUCAAAGAAGUUCUCACCCCACAGCCUCUCCAUCAUCUUCACCUCAUCAACACCAAACUUGGAGGCAUACAUCUUAGCAAAGUUUGUAAGGGUGAAAGCCCACCCAUGCAAACCAGCAGAGAAUGCAACAGUACCCUUCUCUGGGUACACUUGGACAUCACCAAGGAGCACAUCUUCAUAUGUUGCCAUGAUGACAUUGGCAUUUUCGAUGACACGGGAGAAAGUCUGAUAUGCUUCCUCACCUUCAAACUGAAGCUCAAGGAAGCAUCUGUCCAUCUUGUUCACAGUAAGAACAGGCCUAAUCCUCUCACCAAGAGCUUGGCGCAGCACAGUUUCAGUCUGCACACAGACACCCUCAAUGCAGUCAACAACCACCAAAGCACCAUCAGUGAUACGAAGAGCAGCUGUGACUUCCGAAGAAAAGUCAACGUGGCCAGGUGAAUCAAUAAGGUUGAUCAGGUAUUCAUCUCCAUCCCUGUCGCCCUUGUACAUCUCAAGUGAUUCAGGAGUCAUCUGAUAGAAAAGAGAGAUACCCGUGGAUUUGAUUGUAAUACCACGCUCUGCCUCAUCUGCACGGGUAUCAGUCAUGCGAACAUCCCCAGCAACUUCCUGGGCGAUAAUCCCAGCAGCUGCCACAAGGGAAUCCGUAAGCGUAGACUUGCCUGCAAAUAUGUAAAUAAUAUGUGAGAACAAUGCACAAGCAUCUGGUUUGACAGUUGAACACAACCUAUAUGAAUAGAAAAUUGAACAUGUUAACUCAUACAGUAUAAGGCAGAAGUAGGACAGAGCAGUACAGUACUUUCAAACAAUCAAGAAACAAAAGAAGGUACAAAUAAGCUCAACAAGGUUUUUAGUAACAUGGUUAAGCAAAAUCUAGUGGGACAUUGCAAACAAAAUAUGAAGACAUCAAUAUUGAAGUAACUAAGUACAAUCAUGUAAAUUUAAGAUCCUAUGCAGUGUAAUACAUUCAGGGACAAUGUGAGAAUACACCAAACUGGGAGAUACUAGGCCUGGGAUAUUAUGUCAAUAGUACCAUUUAAGCUUGGUGAAGCAGAAAUCAAUCAUAUAAUAAGCAGUGGUGAAGCAGAAAUCAAUCAUAUAAUAAGCAGUAGUAGUAAACUCCAGGACACAAUAAGAUGGAUUGGUUUUAGGGAUGAAACUAAUUAUGGCCCACUUCUUAAAUUGACCCAUUUAAAUAGUCUCAGUAUUUCGAAUUAAAUAGAGUAAAAUUAAGAGCAGGCUACAAAAACAUUGGUUAACAAAGAUUCUACUGUAUGAACUCAAUAAUUAGAGACAACUGUCUGUUUAGGCACAUACCGUGGUCGACAUGAGCAAUAACAGACAUGUUACGAAUAUUAUUUUUCUUGUCCAUAAUUCCGCGGAGCUCCUCCGCUGUAAACUUCACCAUCUUGACUGGUUUUGGAUAUCACACUGGGAAUAUAGUUCCUGUUCAGAAUGGACCAAAAAUCAAGUAAUUAAAACCACAAUUGAAUAAUCAGAAGGCUCUUACUACAGUUGGGCACGCAUUAGUUUCAAGUGCAGUCAACCAAGCAUAUUAAAACUAACAUAUGGGAACCGAAGACCAAGUUCUGAAAACUUAAUUGUCCAAAGUGCACUAAAAAGGAAGCCAGAAAGCAACGAUGGCAACCAAUUUUGAGAGCACUCGACAUGACAGUGUGCGAAAGAAAGCACAAAACAGUAAGAAAGAUAAGAAAGAAAAGCAGUCUAUUAUGUAGAGUGUGCACAAGUAUGAAGCACAAUCAGGCAACGGAUAUCACUAGCUAAACCUGUAUAACUUAUGAGGAUCACAGAAAACUUCGCAGGAAUCAACCAUAUGUGAAUGGAAAAGAAGAGUAGGUCUGAAACAGAAUCGUGGUUUUAUGCAAAGUUGAUUUGUAACAGAAGGGUAGUUUUAUGCACACGUGCUGACUGUACUAGCAUGUACACUACCAGUGUAAACACUAGAAACAAUGGAAGCACAGAAGGUCAUAAUGUUGAGCUCUGAAAUAGGUGCGACCAACCAUGCAUGGGGAGCACUGAGAAGAAUACCAGAAGAUAGCCACAUAUGAUCAAUUUAACCAAAUGAAAGAGAUCAGGGAUAAAUUCACCCAUAAUACCUCAACUAUAAGUACAUAAAAACUGGCACACCCCGAUACAAGAGUCUCCCGUUCUUUCUUUUUUUUUGAAAUAAAUACAAGAGUCUCCCGUUCUAUAUACACAUAGUUAUAUUAAAUUAAGCAUGCCAAGCAAAGAUGUGCAUCACCAUUUCCUCCGCCCUGAACAUGAAGACAGAGAACAAAACCAACCAGGCUACGACAGGCAGGCAAGCAAGCGAGCAAAACCCUACAGCUUGAGCAUUCUAAGAACCCCGUGGACGAACAGCAGCGCAGAAAAAAAUCGCCGAAAAAGCUAGCAGAGCACCAGAUGAAACAGAUCGCCGUCUACCACGGCGGAGCGGGCAGAUCCACGGUAAACACGGCGGGAGGAACACCCUUAGCUACCACAGAAGCACAUCGGAGGCGACGAGCUUAUGUAUCUAGUGACGUCAGCGCAAAGUCGUCGCCAGGAACAAGCGAGCGGGACGAACCAAGCAGCAGAUCUAACGCAUCUAAGAGCAGCGAGACCGCAUAGGAAUAAUCCCGGCGACCACGAGCCCAGCAAAGGGGACCGGAGCGCAUCGAGCUAGCGAGGAGACUGAGCCGGUGAAAUCGGUCGGCUAGGUAGCAGCUAGCUGCCUAGCACGGGCGCGCCCGCCGACGGAGCAGCCGGAGGGCGGCGGAAGGGGAGAGGAGAGGGGAGGUCCGGCUCACCUUGCGGGUUCGCCGAGAGAUGAGAGGUGGGGAAGCGGCGGCGCUCCCGAUCCGUGAGAAUGGAAAGGGUUCAAGGAAGUGAGCACGCUAGGUCGCAUUUGCUGGCCGUUAUAUACGCUAUUUUUGUUGGUUCCGUGCGGGCCAAGAUGCGCGGGGAGUGGAACUUUCCAAGGCCGGCCACGCGAAAUGCGGCCCGCAAGUGAAGCCGGCCUGUCCGGCGUCCACUGUGGUGGAGUCCGGCCCAAAGGGGAUGAUGGCCAGGCGUGGUGAGAAUUUCGGAAGUUGUCGGAGCGAAAGCUCCGAAGCGCCAUCAAAUGGCGAGGAAGCUUUCGGAAAACCUCUAACCACCUAGGAGCCCAAUCUUCAAAAGUAACAAGUGUUGGGUUUGAUGAAAAAAUGUAUGUUGGGUCUUGCUCUCUCUAUCACCAAAGAAUCAACAGGUUUGGGCGCACAUUUUUCAGAAACCAUGCUCAGUUUAGACUUCAUUGAAAGAUGGGUUUAAAUAAAGCAACCACGAAGAUUUUGGAUGGAGUGGUAAUAUUUGAACCUUGAUGUGUGACACGAACACAUGGCAACUCCGAAUGUUUUUUAUGACAAAUGUAGUGACGCGGGGAUGGCAACUUCAUAAGUCAAGCAUGGCCACUUGCUUUUUGGAUGGUAAGUUUCGGUUUUUUCUGGGUUUCUUUUUUUCUUUCUAGAUGACAAUUUCAGCAGUUGUAAAAAACGUGAGGGCAAGAGUGCUUCGUGCCACAUGUGUGGCACUUAUUAUUUAGGUGACAUGUUGUUGGAAUCACGCUCAAACUAAGCUUCGUCCAAAGAUGGUCCAAAGAUGAGUGCGGCCAAUCAAAAUUAGUGUUAGCUCUACCACAUUAUAUCUUCCUUUUUAGUGGAGAAUUUGAUGGAGGAGCUGCAGCCCUAUUUCCCCGUAUUAUUUCUGUUAGCAAUUGAAGGUUUUGUCUUGUCUUUUGAAAAGUAUUGGAAUUUCAUAAAAGAAAAGAAAAAACAUCUAUGCAGCGGCCAAAACACCCUGACCAAGGCCAAUCAUCUCUUAUCGAUAUUUACGAACAUUGUGUCCAAAUUAGGAAACUAGACUAGGAUCACUUCAUGUAUACCUGUUUGGUUUGCAGCGUAAGGUUUUAACGCUUAUUCUUAGUAGUGCCACAACAUCUUAGGAAUGUGUUUGAUUUAUUGCCACACUUUUCUAGCUACAAGGUUCACAUGUCAUAGGCUCACUUUUUGCUUAAUCUUGCAACACUUAUAGUCACCAUUUUAUUAACCACAUUUUUUGUGACAGCCACACUUUGUCUAAGCUUAAUACUUCCUCCAUCACGGUUUAGAAGGCACAGUUAAAUUUGCGUACGUUUUCACAAUAAACAAGGUUUAGAGCGCAUUGCAUUUAUUUCUAGUAGCUAAUUACUACUCCGAUAUACUAUUUCUAUAUGCAUGCGUAGUGUGAAUGCUAUUUUUUAGCCCAUCCCACAACCAAUAGAUAACCACCUAGGUCCCAGAGAAUUUUCAAGCGCGUCUUCUAAACCAUGACGGAGGGAGUAGUGGUUAAGUUAGUCAUGAAAACAAGUCAUGAAACGGCAUCCUAUGUUUCAGCAAAAAAAACUAAAAGGUUGAAGCUUGCUUGCAAGUGUCAUAAUUACAUAGAGCCUAUGUGUAUAACUAUUAAGCACAUGUGCAUCCAGUAACAGUCAUAAGAAAUAUAGCAAACAAAUCUAUUAUAUGCCUAAAUUUACUGAACAACUUCACAACUCAAUUUUGCUACAAACCUGGAAUAAGAGAAGUUACUGAGCAUGAGAAUUAUGCGAAUAUUCUAUUAUGCCUACAAAGGUUCAAUCUGUAAUAUUCCAAAAACAUAAGUUCGGAUACUCUCAGCGUUAACAGAUGCUUCUACUACAGUAUUUCUCUUAGGUCCAAUUUUUUUCCGCUCAAACAGAUGUAUCUUAGCACACAGUAGGGAGCAAUUUCUCAUCAUCAGUGUGUCCACAAAAUUGUAGGGCAUGAAAUGGAGAAUUGUGUACUGUAUACAAACUGCAGCAUAAACAAGUGCAGUAAGUUUUUGAGCAUAGAUUACAACUGCCAAAAGAUGGAACACAUUUUGAUGGUCAUCAAAUCAGGAAGGUAAAAUGAGAUCGAAAAACUGCAAGCAGAGCUCUCAAGAUCAUGAAAAAUAUAGAGCAAGACUGGAGCAAUAAAGAACCAGGCAGAGCUCUCAAGAUCAACACAAAAGCAAACACAAGACGCCAACAAGAACUACCAAUGGAUAACAGAUACUUGUAUAAUCUAAGCUUUAACAUCGACAGACAUCAAAACGAAGUGCCAGUAUCACGACAGAUAUAUAAUCUAAGUUUUAACAUCGACAGACAUCAAAACAAAGUGCCAGUAUCACGACCGAUAGGAAUCCCAAUAGCAGUACAGCGACGACUCAAUAGACAGAUAAUAGUGCAGCUCUCUUAGCAGCAAAAGCAAACUAGACCAUGUAACAGAAGCAAAAGUUCAGAGCUUGUCCUCGAAAUCAGAUAGAGGGGUCAUCUGUUCCUUCAGGCCCUUGCGCUUGCGGAUCUCCGUGACAAGUGUGGCAGACUGGGAGCCGGCCUCCAAAGGAUCAGAAGACAUGAUGUCCCAAUGGUCGAACACACACUGGGGGAAAGCCUGGCCGGAUGUCGCCGCCCUGAGGGUACUUGAGAACCCGAACGACUCGAUGACCGGGAGGUAAGCCUUGAUGUUGUACAGCGGGGUACCAGGCCUCUGCAUCUCCUCAAACACAUGCCCUCUCUUCUGAUUCAGAACACCAUAGAUACCACCGAGUGCAUUCUCCGGGGCCUGGAUCUCAACCAGGUACACAGGCUCCAGCAGCCUUGGCUUAGCAGUGAGCUGAGAAGCGUAAAUGACCCUCCUGGCUGUUGGGAUGACCUGACCACCACCCCUGUGAAUAGCAUCAGUGUGCAGAACAACAUCACAGACCUCAAAGCAAAUGCCACGCAUGUUCUCCUCAGCCAGAGCACCUUCUUUCGAUGCCCACUGGAACCCUGCCACAACAGAGUCCUUGAUUUCAUUCAGAUACUGCACUCCCUUACACAUGUCCACAACCAUGUUGGGGCCAGUCGUCUCAGGUCCAAAGCACCAAAUCUUCUUGGCGAGAUCCUUGUCCCAACCAAACUCCUCAGACAGGAUCUUGGAGCGCACCUUAGGAUCAUCACGCGGGCCAAUGCGGCCAUCAUCAAUAGCCUCAGCCAAUCCCUCCUCCAAUGGGCGAGCUUCCAUGUAC
rnacentral:lncRNA from 1 species